AACGAACGCUGGCGGCGUGCCUAACACAUGCAAGUCGAACGAGAACGGGGCUUGGGCUCCGAGUAAAGUGGCGCACGGGUGAGUAAGACGUGGGUAACAUGGCUCUAUGAUUGUGAUAACUGGUCGAAAGAUGAGCUCAUACCGUAUUAGCGCACAGUUCCUGCGGGUACAGGGGUGAGAGGUAGGCUCUGUUUGCAAGCUAACACGUCGAGAUGGGCUUGGGCACUAUUAGCUAGUUGGUAGGGCAAAGGCCUACCUAGGCAAAUAUGGUUAGCGGGUCUGAGAUGAGUAUCAGCCACACUGGAACUGAGACACGGUCCAGACUCCUACGGGAGGCAGCAGUGGGGAAUAUUGCGCGAUGGGCGAAAGCUUGACGCAGCAACGCCGCGUGAGUGAUGAAGGCCUUCGGGUCGUAAAGCCCUGUCGGGAGGAACGAAUGCUCCUGAGGUUAACAGCCUCGGGAGGUGACGGUACCUUCAAAGGAAGCACCGGCUAACUCUGUG
rnacentral:rRNA from 1 species